AACGAACGCUGGCGGCAGGCUUAACACAUGCAAGUCGAACGCAUCCUUCGGGGUGAGUGGCAGACGGGUGAGUAACGCGUGGGAACGUGCCCUUCAGUUCGGGAUAACCCAGGGAAACUUGGGCUAAUACCGGAUACGUGCGAGAGCAGAAAGAUUUAUCGCUGAAGGAUCGGCCCGCGUCUGAUUAGCUAGUUGGGGGGGUAAUGGCCCACCAAGGCGACGAUAAGUAGCUGGUCUGAGAGGAUGAUCAGCCACAUUGGGACUGAGACACGGCCCAAACUCCUACGGGAGGCAGCAGUGGGGAAUAUUGGACAAUGGGCGCAAGCCUGAUCCAGCCAUGCCGCGUGAGUGAUGAAGGCCUUAGGGUUGUAAAGCUCUUUCGUCCGGGACGAUAAUGACGGUACCGGAAGAAGAAGCCCCGGCUAACUUCGUGCCAGCCGCCGCGGUAA
rnacentral:rRNA from 1 species